rnacentral:miRNA from 1 species
AGUGUUCACAGCGGUCCUUGAU